rnacentral:rRNA from 1 species
CACGUAGGGGGCGAGCGUUGUCCGGAUUUAUUGGGCGUAAAGCGCGCGUAGGCGGCUCGGAAAGUCGGUCGUGAAAUGCCGGGGCUCAACCCCGGGACUGCGUCCGAUACUCCCGAGCUGGAGGCAGGUAGGGGAGAUCGGAAUUCCUGGUGUAGCGGUGAAAUGCGCAGAUAUCAGGAGGAACACCGGUGGCGAAGGCGGAUCUCUGGGCCUUGCCUGACGCUGAGGCGCGAAAGCUAGGGGAGCGAACAGG